CCUACGGGUGGCAGCAGUGGGGAAUAUUGCACAAUGGGCGCAAGCCUGAUGCUGCCAUGCCGCGUGUGUGAAGAAGGCCUUUGGGUUGUAAAGCACUUUCAGCGAGGAGGAAGGUGGUGAGCUUAAUACGCUCAUCAAUUGACGUUACUCGCAGAAGAAGCACCGGCUAACUCCGUGCCAGCAGCCGCGGUAAUACGGAGGGUGCAAGCGUUAAUCGGAAUUACUGGGCGUAAAGCGCACGCAGGCGGUUUGUUAAGUCAGAUGUGAAAUCCCCGGGCUCAACCUGGGAACUGCAUUUGAAACUGGCAAGCUAGAGUCUCGUAGAGGGGGGUAGAAUUCCAGGUGUGGCGGUGAAAUGCGUAGAGAUCUGGAGGAAUACCGGUGGCGAAGGCGGCCCCCUGGACGUAGACUGACGCUCAGGUGCGAAAGCGUGGGGAGCAAACAGGAUUAGAUACCCUCGUAGUC
rnacentral:rRNA from 1 species